AACGAACGCUGGCGGCGGGGUUUAGGGCAUGCAAGUCGCACGAGAAAGCCGCAAGGCAAGUACAGUGGCGUAAGGGUGAGUAAUGGUUCGUCAACGUACCGAGCAGACGUGAAUAAUUUCCCGAAAGGGAUUGUAAUGCACGAUGAGACCACGGGCUGUACGCAGUUUGUGAUCAAAGGUCGGGGGAUCCUUCGGGACCCGGCGCUGUUUUGAGCGGACGAACUCUGAUUAGCUAGUUGGCGGGGUAACGGCCCACCCAAGGCGAUGAUCAGUAGCCGGGCUGAGAGGCUGUCCGGCCACACGGGCACUGAGAUACUGGCCCGACUCCUACGGGAGGCUGCAGUCGCGAAUUUUUUCACAAUGGGCGCAAGCCUGAUGAAGCCACGCCGCGUGCGGGAUGAAAGGCCCUCUGGGUUGUAAAACCGCUGUCGAGGGAGGGGAACCGCUGGAUGUGAAUAGUAUCCAGUCUGACUGCUCUCUGAAGGAAGCCCCGGCAAAAACAUGUGCCA
rnacentral:rRNA from 1 species